AAACCGUUCAGGGGUAAACCUGAGAAACCCAAAAGAUCGAAUGGGGAGAUUCAUCGUCAACGGUGGCUGGUUCCCGUUGGUGCGCGAUGCUCCGAAUGGGCUCAUGUCUUAUGGACCCAUGGCGAGGGCACGCCACCUUCGGCUCGAAUCUUCCGGUGCCGUAGUCGUGCACUUCUCCCCUAGUAGAACGUCGCGACCCGUUGUGUGUCGGUCUACGGCCCGAGCGGGCGCCUGUCGCGUCGCGCUUGUCGCACGCGUCAGACCCUCGGAUGCCUGGCCGGCUGCACGACGGUACUCCCACGGUAUCGGGCCGCAACCAAUCCAUUCUCGAAUGUGUGUGCGUCUAGCCCGCCGCAAGCUCGAUCAGUUCUUACCCGGUGGUACGGACCUGGUGCCGUCCCUGGGCCUGAUCAGCUGUUAGCAGGCGGUGUCCUCGGACUGGCCAAGCUUUGAAUUACCGGUCGGCGACGCUACUGCUUUGGGUACUCUCAGGACCCGUCUUGAAACACGGACCAAGGAGUCUAACAUGUGCGCGAGUCAUUGGGAUGCACAAACCUAAAGGCGAAAUGAAAGUGAAGGUCGUCCAUUGCGUCGACCGAGGGAGGAUGGGCCGCGUUACGAGGCGGCCCCGCACUCCCGGGGCGUCUCGUUCUCAUUGCGAGAAGAGGCGCACCCAGAGCGUACACGUUGGG
rnacentral:rRNA from 1 species